GAUGAACGCUGGCGGCGUGCUUAACACAUGCAAGUCGAACGAAGCACUUUAUUUGAUUUCCUUCGGGACUGAUUAUUUUGUGACUGAGUGGCGGACGGGUGAGUAACGCGUGGGUAACCUGCCUUGUACAGGGGGAUAACAGUUGGAAACGGCUGCUAAUACCGCAUAAGCGCACGGCAUCGCAUGAUGCAGUGUGAAAAACUCCGGUGGUAUAAGAUGGACCCGCGUUGGAUUAGCUAGUUGGUGAGGUAACGGCCCACCAAGGCGACGAUCCAUAGCCGACCUGAGAGGGUGACCGGCCACAUUGGGACUGAGACACGGCCCAAACUCCUACGGGAGGCAGCAGUGGGGAAUAUUGCACAAUGGGCGAAAGCCUGACGCAGCGACGCCGCGUGAGCGAAGAAGUAUUUCGGUAUGUAAAGCUCUAUCAGCAGGGAAGAUAAUGACGGUACCUGACUAAGAAGCACCGGCUAAAUACGUG
rnacentral:rRNA from 1 species